rnacentral:lncRNA from 10 species
GUUCCUUGUCUUAGAUAGGUGCUUCCCAGGGGGCAAAUUGAGAUAAGAUCUUUAAGCUCUCUAGUUAUAAACAAAAACAAACAAUUUGGUACAUUUUCCCCCUGAAAUUCAGCUCACAGUUUGUCGCGAGUUGAACCUCCUACUACUCCCUCCAUCUAAUAAAGAAAAGCAACAUUGAAUGGCAGCAUCUUAUCUCUGAAAUGACAUCCUGAUCCCAUUCCACAGCAUUGAAACCCUUAACAAGUUGGUCGCUACUUGGCUCUCUAUCUUCAUCUUUAUUCCCCAGUACAUCCUUCCAUGAUAUCUUCUUCCUGGCCAUAUUGAGCUACACUUCUUGUCUCAGCUAUUUCUAUUCUACAAGUUUCUAAAAAGUUCUAGUUAUUGUUAAAUGAAUAACAAAAAGCUGUCUCUGUGACUGUGACAUAUGGCAUGUUUUCCGCUCUUUAAGUAUAAUGUAAAAAAGAUGAGAUCAUGCUCUCCAUUCUGAACUUUUUUUGAUGCUUCCUGACCUCCUUUUUAUACAUUUCCAGAACAAUUUUAAUAAAGUGUUUUUUCACGUUAAUAUUGAAAUAUGGCAUACACAGAGUAAACAAAUCAUGAAUGUAGAGCUUGAUAAAUUAUGAUAAAUUUAACAUACCAUCUGACCAUGAUGCCACUCAAGAAACAGACCAUUACAGCAUCUCAGAAGCUCCCAUGACACUCCCUCCCAAUCUCUUCCCACUCAUUUGUCCUGAGAGAAAACCCCUGUUCAGACUUCUAGCAUCACAGUUAGUUUUGCC